GGGUUGUGAGGUUAAGCGACUAAGCGUACACGGUGGAUGCCCUGGCAGUCAGAGGCGAUGAAGGGCGUGCUAAUCUGCGAUAAGCGCCGGUAAGGUGAUAUGAACCGUUAUAACCGGCGAUACCCGAAUGGGGAAACCCAGUGUGAUUCGUCACACUAUCAUUAACUGAAUCCAUAGGUUAAUGAGGCGAACCGGGGGAACUGAAACAUCUAAGUACCCCGAGGAAAAGAAAUCAACCGAGAUUCCCCCAGUAGCGGCGAGCGAACGGGGAGGAGCCCAGAGCCUGAAUCAGCAUGUGUGUUAGUGGAAGCGUCUGGAAAGGCGCGCGAUACAGGGUGACAGCCCCGUACACAAAAGCGCAUGUGCUGUGAGCUCGAUGAGUAGGGCGGGACACGUGGUAUCCUGUCUGAAUAUGGGGGGACCAUCCUCCAAGGCUAAAUACUCCUGACUGACCGAUAGUGAACCAGUACCGUGAGGGAAAGGCGAAAAGAACCCCGGCGAGGGGAGUGAAAAAGAACCUGAAACCGUGUACGUACAAGCAGUGGGAGCACCCUUUGGGGUGUGACUGCGUACCUUUUGUAUAAUGGGUC
rnacentral:rRNA from 2 species